AUCCGCGCUGCCGCGCAACCCAACGUGAAACAGGGCAGCCAGGCGCGCCGGAGCCAAUAGCAGCGAGGCAUUGCCGCGGGUAGCCAAUGAGCAGGCUCCGAACGUUGCGGGGGGAGGGCAUGUUGGGCUGCGCGCCGGCGUGCAUCUCCACGCCAGCGUGCACAGCAUCCACCUGACCCCACCGCGAGAGUCAAAGUGUAAUUUGAAUCCUGCGAGAUAUAUAUAUAUAGAGAGAGAGAGAGAGAAGCAGGGCUGGAAGGGACCUCUAGAGGUCACCUAGUCCAACCAGGCCACCAGCCCUUCCUCAUGAGGUGCUGCCCUCGCCUGCAUGAUGACAAAUGACCCAGGCAUCGCUGUGGGCAACUCAGGGAAAACCCCUGCCCCAGGAGCAUCUGCCCAGCUAGGGAUAGAGCCAGAAGCUAACUUGCUGGAGGAACAAUCGAGGGCAUGAUGACAUCAUUGCCACCAGCCUGGGAGAUGGCUCUCCACAAUGCGACAGCCUGUGAGCAGAAGUCCUUAGCUUUGUCUGACUGGCCAACCCCAGCAUCAGGAGAAGACUUGGAACUGUUCUGAAAGUAGAGAGCCGAUGGAAAGGAGACCCUGGCAUCUUCUGGGGACCCAGCUGCCCAGGGAGUGGAGAUCCCAGUGUGUCUUGCAGAGUGGGUAGCUCAUAAAGCAGAGGUCACCACAUCACUUUGGGGUCUGGAGAACCACCUGGCUGGGUUUUGCCCCACUGAGAUCUUGGACCAGGUCCUCAGCUGGAGGAGACGGGCAGCGUUUCAUUGUCUUUAGUGGGUUUCUUCUAAUUUAUGUGAGCUGAGAACCUGGCCCAGUAUCUCCUCCUUUCCUGCUAUCACCAGCUUCAUCUUUUAUUUUGAUGAAAGAAACCUGCUGGUUUUGGGCAUCCAUGGGUCUAUUUCUGGAUGGAGUAGAGCUCCCUUUUUCCUUGGCACUGCUGUGGAGUAGGAGACAUGAAGUUCUCUGCAGUAAAGCAGUGCUGGCUCCCUCACAGAAGCAGUAGCAAGCCUUGUCCUGGGUUGAGCAAUGUGGAUUUUCUGUCAGUCCCUGGGUGUCUUUGGCCAGAAGAAAAUCCUUAGUUAAAACCUUAUCUGAGGAGUGACAGAAACUCAAUAAUCCUCCUUCUCAGCAGGCUGCCCAUUACAUUAGACGGAGAAAAAUUCGACCCUGGUGAUGGCCACAUGCCUGGAACCCGCUCAAGGUUUCCAGUCAUUGGUCUGCCAGUGACUUUGAGGUUUAGCCCUGCUGAUGUGAGUUUUUUGUUUCCAGGUUUAUUUUUCCCCUUUCCCUUUAAAAACAAAUCCAUCUGGUAAGAAGUGCCGAACUGAGGGUCCUGGAGAAUGUCAUGCUGCAGCAGGGCUAGUGAUAGGGCUGCCUUCAAACACCUACCCCUACCAAUGUGCUUCCCACCCUUAGAAGACCUGAGAGGGGUGUCCAUGUGCCAGACCCUUCCACUUCCUGGCUUCUCUCCCAAGACUGCCAGUGAGUGGGCCGUGGCUUCUGCGACAUGGAUGCUUGUCAGCUGGGGGCUGAACUGAGAACACAAAAGCCAUUAUAAAGGGCUGUCAGCUGACAUGAGCUGUCAGGAAUGGAUUCAAAGCCAGGUGGCUAGAGGCACAUGUGGGGCUCUCCCUCCCAAUCCAAUGUGCAGUGCGAGCCAUCCUUCCCUCCAGUUGCAAUGGCAUUGGUGUUGGGUCGUCUCUGUGGUUGUAGCAAGCUUCCCAGCCUACCUAACCUGCCUCACUGCAGCCUUAUCUCUCCUCCUCUAGAGAGUCCAAGGUGUCAGCAAGCAACAAGAGCUUUCCUCCUCCUUGGACUGGCCGCUUGUAGCUGGCUCUUUAGGAGUUGCGCUUUGGACCUCUCAGUGCGAUUGAGGCAGGCAGGACAAUCCCCAGCAGACUCCAGCUGGUAGGGAGUUGGCUCCAAAUGUCAUGGGAUGCAUCUGGGCAUCAGCCUAGAUGUUUCCAUGGUCCCAGAACCAUGGGAUCUGAGCAGCCACAAAGGAUGUAUGGGAGAUAGUGUUAUUGUCCCUAUUUUACAGGAGUGGAGACAAAUGAAGUGGCCGAGGUCACAAAGGAUAUCCAGGCCACAUGAAUCUCCACCUGAUGCCUUAACCACAGAGCAUCUUUCUCUGCACUAGAAGGUUAGUUCCGUAGAUAGCUGUUGGGUGCAGUUAGCUGGCCCAUCUCUAUAAAAGUCCCUAUGGCACAUGCUAGCUCCAGCCCCUUUUCAGACAGUGCAGAGCAGCAUUCUGCCCAUCAAGCACCUUGGCCUGUCACACAGUGGUGCCAUUUCUCUGGUGGAAGAAGACAACAAAAGAAUUUGACUACAAAUGAACAAAGCAGGUACCAGUAGGUUACACUGUGGUCAUAUCAGCUUCAUCAGCAAACACCUUCCCCUCUGAUGGAUUACGUGGUUAACUUCCCAGACUGGUGGUUUCACCCACCUGCCAGUGAAAGGGAGUCAUGUUUCAGGUGGGGGUUAUAGUGGCUGUGGCUUACAAACCAUGUGAUGUUGCACAACAGUUUAGGACAGGAAGUGAAGUAGAAUAGUGCACCUGAUUGAGAUGGUAGCAGGGUUUUCCAGAAGUAGUUUGGAGCCACCCAAGUCAGAAUCUGACCAGGACAUUGGAAUCCGGAUUUGGUAGCAAGUUCUGUGGGGUUUUUAAUGAUGGUUUGCGACCAGGGUUUAUAUCUGAACAACAGCACCUCUAGUGCCACAGUGCAGUGAUUCUUUACAUUUUCAGAUUUGAGACACUCUCAGAAAAUGCCAGCUCUUAGCUUUCACUCAUUUCUUGACUACAGAAAAAGAAUAGAGCAGUUUUUCUGCUGGAAAGAGAUCAGAAAGACCACAGCAGAGCAGAAUGUUUUUGACACAAUGGAUUCUUAUUUUAAAUCCCCCAGCACUCGGGUUGAGAAUCACUGCCCUAGCAGGAGGCUAGCUCAGCUCUGACGCUGAGGGAAGAGCACCAUCUACUGAAUCACCAGCUCCACUUGCUCCAGCGCCUUGCCUUUUCGACCCAGAUCUCCCCUACCAGCACUGAUCCAGACUAAUUCUUCUUGGCUUGCAAGGUUAUGCUGAGAUCAAACCAGACUGAGAUAGGUAAAGUCUCAAUGCACCCCAGUCAGAGCAGAACUAGGGCUGGGCAUUUAGGUGACAAACCAAAUGAUGUUUUUUAGCAACAGUCCUCCCAGUAACAGGAAUUUUCUCACUUGGUCCAUUCCUCACUCUGUGCUCCUGGCUAUCAGUUACAUACUGCUCCCUACUGGGUAGUUGAUUGAAAGAGUGGCAGAAAAGCAAGAUGUGGGGGUCAGGCAGUGUAGAUGACAAUAAUCAUCCCAGCUCUGUUUUGAUAGCACUGUAGUGAUGCUCAUACACACACGUGCCAUCAGUUAAGUUAUCACAGCAGCAAUUCAAACAGCAUAAAAUAGAUCAAAUAAAAAUCAAAUACAAUUCUAUAAAACCAA